UUUUUCACUCUCGAUCCCUCUCUGUCUGGAUUCCCCUAAGUCUCAAUCCCUUGAGGUCAUGAUUUUCAGUUUCAUCCAUCUACAAAGCCCCUCUUAAUCGUCACAUGCAUCGAUCCAAAUCAAAUUGGUGAGGUCAAAAUUAAGAAUUAACACAGAAGUUUCUCUAUUCCAUUGGAGGGUGAAUGAUUGUUUCAGGUUUCGUUGGUGAAUCAUGAAAGGCAAAGUGAGCAGCUGAGAACCAUAUGCUUGCAAGCCAUGCUGGUUUUCAGACUUCUCAGGUUCAAUGAUUUGGUGAGGAUGGUGGCCGAUCAGCUAAAUCUUUGAAACCAAAAUUCAAUGCCUUUGUAAACCACUUAACAACUCAUACUGGCCAGCAAUUGCCACCAGUUGAUGCAUGUAAGGUGUUAUUCUUCUAUAAUCUAAAACCUUAAGUUAUGAAGAUUAGACUUUUAAAUGUAUAUGUAAUACAUGUUUUUUUUUUCCACAAAUUGUAUGUAUGUAGUACAUGAUAUGUAUGUUUUAUGUAAUGGAUAUUUUUGAUGAUGAAUGCAAUAAAAAAAGUUAUAUAUAUA